ACACCAAGAACCAUCUCCGUGGCAACAACUAGGGCAUGAAAACCUAACAGCACCGUUGGCAAGCCUCUCCCAGCAGCACGUUCUUCAAGCACCCAUCUGUGAACUCGUUGCUUUCGCUCUGGCUUUCAGACUGCGAGUAGAUUCCUUCGCUGGUGAAGAGGGCUUGGAGAUCAAACCCCUUUGUUCAGUUUUGGAAUACUAUUGGAUAGAAAACUUCCAUCAUGUAGAUUUACUCACUUCUGCUCCUGAAUACUUGUUGGUCCGAGUGACCAGCUCAUCGAGGGAAACGUUCUCUGCUACGGGCAUGUUACGGAACUGUAGGGAAAAUAUCUCCCGUCUGGUCGGACCGUCAGGAAGAG